rnacentral:misc_RNA from 1 species
GAUGAAAACGCAGCGAAAUGCGAUAAGUAGUGUGAAUUGCAGAAUUCAGUGAAUCAUCGAAUCUUUGAACGCACAUUGCGCCCCUUGGUAUCCCGAGGGGCAUGCCUGUUCGAGCGUCAUUUCACCACUCAAGCCUGGCUUGGUGUUGGGCGACGUCCUCUUUGGGGACGCGCCUCGAAACGCUCGGCGGCGUGGCACCGGCUUUAAGCGUAGCAGAAUCUUUCGCUUUGGAAGUCGGGGCCCCGUCUGCCGGAAGACCUGCUCGCAAGGUUGACCUCGGAUCAGGCAGGGAUACCCGCUGAACUUAAGCAUAUCAAUAAGCGGAGGA